ACGAACAUAUUAUUAACGUGAUACAUAAACGGGUACUUUCGUAUUAACGCCACCGCAGCUGCUAAAUCAGAAGUUUCCAAUAAAAACAAGCUUGUUGUGACUGACCUAACCUAACCCUUCGAUUUUUUAAAUUUCAAUUUUUGACUGUUAACGGGGUUUUGAUUUAACAUUAACCCUUCAAUUUUUUUUAAAUUCCUAUUUUUGACUGUUAACGGGGUUUUGAUUUAACAUUAAAUUUUAAACGUUCCAAACAGACCUAUGUUCCGAGGCAAGGGUUAGGUUGGGUUUGGUCAAUUACGUACUAUAUUAUGCUUUGCUGUCCUGUUGUUAUGAUGCCAUUUUUGAGUACUACCAAAAUGCGUACUUGGAAUUUGCCAAAAACAGAUCAAGAUACAAUUUUAUGUUUUCAGGAGCGAAAUAUUUUAUCAAAAACAGGAAAUGUGAACUUAAACAAGAACCAACCUGGCCGCCGUCACAUCUACUGUAAGAGUUCGCAUUGGGCUAAAUUAUCUUGGUGAAAUCAGGCAGUUUUAUUUAUCCUUCAUGUAUCAAGUAGUGGAGUUUGACACUGAUAGUGGAGGAGGGGUUGGAAUUAUCCACUCUAAAUGGCUAACACCAAGAAAGAAAGAGUGUUUUUGGCCACCUUUUAAACAUUCUCAAGAGUACAAUAAAUGUCUCAGUGACGGACAGCGUCCUUGUGAAAAAUGGAGAAUUUGUGCUUUGAAGAGAAAAUUCUACAUUACUGAUGACAUAUUAAAGGCCAGAGAAAAAUUGAAAGAUGCAGAAUUUGAAUCUGACAUUGCAACUGAAUAUGAGAAUGAAUCCUCACAGAAAAGGAAGAAAAGGCCAAACAGAAGAAUUUUAUACAGCAGUGACGAAAGUAGUAGUGAUGAAUAUGACACAAAUAACCAGCUAGCCCACAAG